CGGCAAGAGAGGGGAGAAGGCCCGGGGAAGACGCUCGGGACCAAGAUGCGGGGCCCGGGUGCGAGCAGCUGAACCUCUCGGCCCCCAGGCGUGGUGACCUGGGUGGCGACGCUCGUGGAGGCCGAGGAGCUUCUGGACCGGCGCUUCGGGGGACCAAGUGGAGAGGCUGCUGGAGUUGUCGCCUGAGUCCUCCCUUAGUUCUUCGCGCCGGCCUCGCCCACGGCUCCGGGUCCCAGCCGCCACUGCAGUCUCCGCAGCACCGAGCGGGGCUCCACCGACUCGCGACCUCCAGCCUCCGCCUCAAGGGCAGGGAGCGCGGCUGGGUCUCUGGAAAGCCAUUUUUAAAUCACUGCCUCUGCUGCCCCCAUGUGAGGUCGGAGUGUCCUCCCCCGUCUUUGCUUUCAGGUUCUUUCAGGUUCCUUUGGGCAAACCCGCAGCUAAGAGUCCAGCUUGUGAACUUGAACCUGAACUUGCUGAAGAAGCUCCCGGCGGCCCCCUGCUGUCUGCGGCCUUUGUUUGAGGGAGAGGCUGGGGUCACCCGGUUGGGCCGCAUUUCCGGGGCCGUCACCUGUCGGGCUGCCAGGCCGCGCGUACCUUGUCCCAUCGGGGGCUCUGCUCUGCCCCCUGCGCUGAUGACGCGGGUGGAAGGGAGGUAUCAGGGGCACUCUGGGGAGCUGUACCUGGCGGGCACCCCCCAGCUGCUCUCCGUGGGGUACGACACCGAGACCUGGUUGGGCUGCAAGGAGACCGACUGGGAUUCCCGGGCUGGUGGCCGGGGAGACGAAGGCGGGGGGUGAGAGGCAGGAACCCAGGAGGCCCCAGGCCCAGCGCUGUGGGGCUGCUGUUGUCGUUCUGCGUGGAGGUCUGGCCAAACUGGCUUUUGCCCCGAGUGAGGAAUUCCUGCUCUUUUUUGGUUUUGGUAAGAGGUCGCUAUUCACAGAGGGGGCGGGGUUCGUCCCCUCCAGGCGAGUACGGGGCUGGCGGGCGCAGUGCUGCCUUUCUGCUCUGUCUCUUGAUCCCGCUUAGGAUCUUUGUGGCUCCUCUGAGUCUUCUUAGAGAGGCCGUGAAAGAUGGGAAAGGCAGGUUGCUGAAACGCUGCUGCUCGGGGCUGGCAGAGACCCUGGUAUAGGGAAGGCGCACCACUGUGGGUCAGAUCAGCUGACAGUGGGGGUUUUAGGUGAUGGGGUAACCUUACAGUUCGGAUCUCUUAGAACCCAGAAGCAGGUAGGCGAUCGCUGCUUCAUCACACUUCACAGGGAGUCCUGGAUCUUUCCUGUCCGUAACCCAUGGACGCCAUGAUUCAGUAUGGCGGAGGUCCGGGGCUUAAGUUCCUGUUCAUGCUUCCUAAUCAUUCAUGGAUCCAUCACAAUGUGCUCUGAAGGGCCUCUCUUGCUGGGAUUGAGAAGGAUACAUUUUUUGAGCAGGUUUUUAUACUCAAUGGACAUGUAGAAGGGAAUAUAUUCUACUCAGUUCCCCUCCUGCAGCUCCUUGAAAUUCUGUCCAUCAAAAGCAGGGAUCUGCUGACCAGAGGUGACUGCCACAGAAGGUAUCCAGUUUGUAAAAGCUGAAUUUGUUGCUGAAGCCAGAAUUUGCAAUCUUGAUGUUUGUGUUAACAUCCAAGAGCGUGUUUUCUGCCUUUAAAUCUCUGUGGACAAUACGUUUCUGGUGACAGCUUGCACAGCAGACACUUUUGGUAGAAUUUGCUUCAGUCCUUUUUUUUUCUUUCCUGCUGCCAUGAGCAGGUAUUCACAAACUUCUCCUCCUGGCUAGUGUGCUUCAUGACAAAGCAAAGAGAUUCCUCAAUAUCGAUCACAGCAAAUGUUUCACUAUGUUGGGGUGAUCCGAGCCUUCAUGGUUCCUACUUUGUGGAUGGUGUCUGGAGGAGAUCUGCUGAGUCUCAUCAAUGAACUUCACAGCUGCUGCUUUCCCAGUUAAGAGGUCCCAGGCCAACCUUACCUUAGCCAGGUUGCCCUUGACGAUGGUCUCAAGGAUCCUAGCUGCCAGUAAGGGUCCCUUCUCAGCAGAGAUGGCUGAGAGGCCCUGUGGCAUGUGAGACUUACUGCUGGGCUUGGAGUCAAGGUGUCCCAGGUCAGCUUAAUUUCGGGAAAAACUGGUAAGACGCUUGGUUCAAAUCACUUGAAAAGAAAAUCACUUGCAUAGUUCACCUGAAGAAUGGAUCUCUAUAAUGGAAUUAAAGCACAAUGCUGGACAAAAAGUAAGAAAAAGCAACAAACUGAAAGGAAAAAUUGAGUAAAAAGAAUAAAGAACUAGAACUGGCAACCUCAGCCAAGCCAGGGAAUUACAUACAUCUUGGAAUUCCAAAGCAAUGCUUCCUUAUGAGGGCAUAGGAAGAAAUAAAUCUAAUAACAAGGCUGGGAUUAAUUCACGUGGUUUUCUCACAUUUUGGUCUCAAGAACUUUUUACUCUAAAACUAAUUAUUGAGGACCCCAAAGAGCUUUUUAUGUGGGUUAUAGUUAUCAGUAUUUACUUUAUUGGAAAUUAAAACCUGUAGGAUGUUUCAGUGGUCUUUUCUAGUUUGAAGGGUUUAAUAAUUUUUGGCUUUUAAAGAGCCCAUAAUCAAUUAAAAUAUUUUAUUUUCCUUUAAAUUGUAAAUGAUUGGUGUCAUAAUGAUGCUACAACUUAACUGGCAUUACAAUACUAUACAAAUACGUUCUAUUGUAUAAGUCACAAUAAGGUACAUUAUUAACUCUAUAACAUUUAGGGGAAGAUAGCUGUUAUCAUAUUAUUUAAAGUUUUGCCUAGUUUCUUUGUAGUAGACUUAUCUUUUCCAGGAGCCAGAGAACCCGCUAUAUCAGUUUCAGUAUCUUUAAAUGUAGAGAUUGCAGCUGUGUGUUGAGAAAGCACGUUUCACUUAGCAUGGGAUGGGGACUUCGAGGUACUGGAUAUGUCACUGGCACCUCAGGGGAGGAAACCAAGAUGCCCCUAUAUGAUUUUAAACAUGGUUUAUUAAAGCGUGAUACAGAAAAGUGCACAAAUUGUCCACCUACAGCUUGGUGACUGUUCACAAAUUGAACUCAUCUAACUAGCCUCCAGAAUAAGAAACAGGCCUUUACACACCCCCACCAGCCUCCCAAUCCCCUUUUCAGUCACCUUCUCUGCAGUGAUAACCACUAUUCUAUAUUCUGACAGCAUAGUUUCACUUGUUUUUUAACUUCACAUAAAUGGGAUCAGACAGUAUUGAAUCCUUUGUGUCUGCUUCCUUCACUCAAUAUUUUCCUGAGAUUUUUCUAUAUUGUUUAUUCUAAAUGCCCAUUGUACGACUGUAACACAAUUUGUUUAUCCAUUUUACUGUUCUUGGGCAUUUGGGUAGUUCUCACUGUGGAUGCUAAGAAGAGUGUUGCUAUAAACAUUCAGGUCUUUUGGUAAGCAUAUACCUGGCUUUCUGUUGGCUAUUUAUACCUAGAAAUAGAGUUGCUGGCUUAUAAGGUAUGCAUAUUUUUAGUUUUAGUAGACAUUGCAGUUUGUACCAAUUCACCCACCCACCAAUGUGAAUAUCUAAUAUUGCCUGCCUGUCUGUACGUGUGUACUGGUAUAGCAUUGUGGUUUUAAUUUGCAUUUUCCAGUGCCUAAUGAAAUAAAGCACCUUUUAAUAUGCU
rnacentral:lncRNA from 1 species